GAUGAACGCUGGCGGCGUGCCUAAUACAUGCAAGUCGAGCGAACAGACGAGGAGCUUGCUCCUCUGACGUUAGCCGAGGACGGGUGAGUAACACGUGGAUAACCUACCUAUAAGACUGGGAUAACUUCGGGAAACCGGAGCUAAUACCGGAUAAUAUAUUGAACCGCAUGGUUCAAUAGUGAAAGACGGUUUUGCUGUCACUUAUAGAUGGAUCCGCGCCGCAUUAGCUAGUUGGUAAGGUAACGGCUUACCAAGGCAACGAUGCGUAGCCGACCUGAGAGGGUGAUCGGCCACACUGGAGCUGAGACACGGUCCAGACUCCUACGGGAGGCAGCAGUAGGGAAUCUUCCGCAAUGGGCGAAAGCUUGACGGAGCAACGCCGCGUGAGUGAUGAAGGUCUUCGGAUCGUAAUACUCUGUUAUUAGGGAAGAACAAAUUUGUAAGUAACUAUGCACGUCUUGACGGUACCUAAUCAGAAAGCCACGGCUAACUACGUG
rnacentral:rRNA from 1 species